UUGCUUGGUGUGGAUGGAAAGGCAGUGAAAAAGGGAAAUGAUGUUGAUAAGGCUGGAGGUGGAUUGCUUGGUGCUGAUGGAAAACCACUUUUUUGAAAACAAGAAACGGAGUAGGAAAAUGAAAUAUAUUUGGAAAAACAAUAAAUGAGUGGAUGGUAUGUGUAGAAUAUUAUUUUUAUUCUUUCCACAUUUUUUUUUA
rnacentral:ribozyme from 1 species